GACGUAGGGUGCAAGCGUUGUCCGGAUUUACUGGGCGUAAAGAGCGCGUAGGCGGUCUGUUAAGUGAGAAGUGAAAUCUCCAGGGCUCAACUCGGAAACUGCUUUUCAUACUGGCAGACUUGAGGGAUGCAGAGGUUUGUGGAAUUCCUGGUGUAGCGGUGAAAUGCGUAGAGAUCCGAAGGAACGCCGGUGGCGAAAGCGGCGGACUGGGCACCUUCUGACGCUGAGGCGCGAAAGCCAGGGGAGCAAACGGG
rnacentral:rRNA from 1 species